rnacentral:rRNA from 1 species
GAUGAACGCUGGCGGCGUGCCUAAUACAUGCGAGUCGAGCGAACAGACGAGGAGCUUGCUCCACUGACGUUAGCGGCGGACGGGUGAGUAACACGUGGAUAACCUACAUAUAAGACUGGGAUAACUUCGGGAAACCGGAGCUAAUACCGGAUAAUAUAUUUAACCGCAUGGUUCAAUAGUGAAAGACGGUUUUGCUGUCACUUAUAGAUGGAUCCGCGCCGCAUUAGCUAGUUGGUAAGGUAACGGCUUACCAAGGCGACGAUGCGUAGCCGACCUGAGAGGAUGAUCGGCUCCCCUGGAACUGAGCCACGACACAGACCACACCGGGAGGGGGCGGAGGGGAGACUACUACAAGGGGAGGAAGGAGGACGGGAAACAGCCGCGUAGGGGAUAAAGGUAUUCGGAUCGGAAAUGUCUGCUAUUAGGGAAGAACAAAUGUGUAAGUAACGAGGCACGGCUUGACGGUACCUAACGAAAAAGCCACGGCUAACUCCGUG